rnacentral:rRNA from 1 species
CCCUUAGAUGUUCUGGGCCGCACGCGCGCUACACUGACGAAGUCAGCGAGCAUGUCCUACGCCGACAGGUGCGGGGAAUCUUGUCAAACUUCGUCGUGAUGGGGAUUGAUUAUUGAAAUUCUUGAUCAUCAACGAGGAAUUCCUAGUAAGCGCAAGUCAGCAGCUUGCGUUGAUUACGUCCCUGCCCUUUGUACACACCGCCCGUCGCUACUACCGAUUGAAUGGUUUAGUGAGAUCUUCGGAUUGGCGCCACUGCGGCUCAGCAAUGGGCGCGGUGGAUGCCGAAAAGUUGAUCAAACUUGAUCAUUUAGAGGAAGUAAAAGUCGUAACA